CGGUACGUACUGGCAUUGUUGGUUUCUCCCUUCUGACGAACCAUGAUGUCAUUUAUUCGGUGUUGUGGGGAAUCAGGACUGUUACUUUGAAAAAAUUAGAGUGUUUAAAGCAGGCUCACGCUUGAAUACAUUAGCAUGGAAUAAUGAAAUAGGACGUUUGAUUCUAUUUUGUUGGUUUCUAGGAUCGACGUAAUGAUUAAUAGGGAUAGUUGGGGGCAUUAGUAUUCAAUUGUCAGAGGUGAAAUUCUUGGAUUUAUUGAAGACUAACUACUGCGAAAGCAUUUGCCAAGGAUGUUUUCAUUAAUCAAGAACGAAAGUUAGGGGAUCGAAGACGAUCAGAUACCGUCGUAGUCUUAACCAUAAACUAUGCCGACUAGGGAUCGGAUGAUGUUAAUUUUUUAAUGACUCAUUCGGCGCCUUACG
rnacentral:rRNA from 1 species